UGCAUCUGAAGCCUGACGAGGAUGAGAACCUCCGGGGGCAAGAGGUUCGACCCGAGCGAAGCGAGAGAACGUUGCGUCAGCAACGGCCCGCAGGGCGAGCCAUCCUCUAUCACCGGCAG
rnacentral:sRNA from 1 species